rnacentral:rRNA from 1 species
GACGGAGGGUGCAAGCGUUGUUCGGAAUCACUGGGCGUAAAGCGCGUGUAGGCGGUUGAAUAAGUCGGAUGUGAAAGCCCGGAGCUUAACUCCGGAAGUGCAUUCGAAACUGUUCGGCUCGAGUACGGGAGAGGGAAGUGGAAUUCCUGGUGUAGAGGUGAAAUUCGUAGAGAUCAGGAGGAACACCGGUGGCGAAGGCGGCUUCCUGGACCGAUACUGACGCUGAGACGCGAAAGAGUGGGGAGCAAACAGG